rnacentral:ribozyme from 1 species
UGCCCAGCAACUCCUAUCCCUACCUCCUCGUGGUAGUGGCCGGGGUACGAGUAACCUUAGGGAAAAUCGGGUAACCAACCCGGUGGGAACUCUGGUCGUAUGCUGACAGGGAAGG